UACGUAGGGGCAAGCGUUUUUUUUUUUUUGCCGGAUUUUAUGGGCGUAAAGCGCUCGCAGGUGGUCCGUUGCGUCGUGCGUGAAAGACCCCGGCUCAACUGGGGAGUGUCGUGCGAUACGGGCGGACUGGAGGCCAGUAGGGGGAUGCGGAAUUCCGGGUGUAGUGGUGGAAUGCGUAGAGAUCCGGAAGAACACCGGUGGCGAAGGCGGCCUGCUGGGCAGUGGCUGACGCUGAUGCGCGACAGCGUGGGGAGCAAACAGG
rnacentral:rRNA from 1 species